GAUGAACGCGGCGGCGUGCUUAACACAUGCAAGUCGAACGGGAUCCCGGGGGUUCGCUUCCGGGUGAGAGUGGCGAACGGGUGAGUAAUGCGUGACCGACCUGCCCCAUACACCGGAAUAGCUCCUGGAAACGGGUGGUAAUGCCGGAUGCUCCGGUUGGAUGCAUGUCCUUCCGGGAAAGAUUCUAUCGGUAUGGGAUGGGGUCGCGUCCUAUCAGCUUGAUGGCGGGGUAACGGCCCACCAUGGCUUCGACGGGUAGCCGGCCUGAGAGGGCGACCGGCCACAUUGGGACUGAGAUACGGCCCAGACUCCUACGGGAGGCAGCAGUGGGGAAUAUUGCACAAUGGGCGCGAGCCUGAUGCAGCGACGCCGCGUGCGGGAUGGAGGCCUUCGGGUUGUAAACCGCUUUUGAUCGGGAGCAAGCCCUUCGGGG
rnacentral:rRNA from 1 species